rnacentral:rRNA from 1 species
ACUCCUACGGGAGGCAGCAGUGGGGAAUUUUGGACAAUGGGCGCAAGCCUGAUCCAGCCAUUCCGCGUGAGUGAAGAAGGCCUUCGGGUUGUAAAGCUCUUUCGCAAGGGAAGAAAACUUACCUUCUAAUAAAGGGUGAGGCUGACGGUACCUUGAUAAGAAGCACCGGCUAACUACGUGCCAGCAGCCGCGGUAAUACGUAGGGUGCGAGCGUUAAUCGGAAUUACUGGGCGUAAAGCGUGCGCAGGCGGUUUUGUAAGUCAGAUGUGAAAGCCCCGGGCUCAACCUGGGAACUGCGUUUGAAACUACAAGGCUAGAGUAUGGCAGAGGGGGGUAGAAUUCCACGUGUAGCAGUGAAAUGCGUAGAGAUGUGGAGGAAUACCAAUGGCGAAGGCAGCCCCCUGGGUCAAUACUGACGCUCAUGCACGAAAGCGUGGGGAGCAAACAGGAUUAGAUACCCUGGUAGUCCACGCCCUAAACGAUGUCUACUAGUUGUUGGGAGAGUAAAAUCUCUUAGUAACGCAGCUAACGCGUGAAGUAGACCGCCUGGGGAGUACGGUCGCAAGAUUAAAACUCAAAGGAAUUGACG